UACGUAGGGCGCAAGCGUUGUCCGGAAUUAUUGGGCGUAAAGAGCUCGUAGGCGGUUUGUCGCGUCUGGUGUGAAACUCAAGGCUCAACCUUGAGCUUGCAUCGGGUACGGGCAGACUAGAGUGUGGUAGGGGGUGACUGGAAUUCCUGGUGUAGCGGUGGAAUGCGCGAUAUCAGGAGGAACACCGAUGGCGAAGGCAGGU
rnacentral:rRNA from 1 species